rnacentral:rRNA from 1 species
UACGUAGGGCGCAAGCGUUGUCCGGAAUUAUUGGGCGUAAAGAGCUCGUAGGCGGCUUGGUAAGUCGGAUGUGAAACCUCCAGGCUCAACCUGGAGUCUCCAUCCGAUACUGCUAUGGCUAGAGUCCGGUAGGGGCCCACGGAAUUCCUGGUGUAGCGGUGAAAUGCGCAGAUAUCAGGAGGAACACCGGUGGCGAAGGCGGUUCUCUGGGCCUUACCUGACGCUGAGGAGCGAAAGCGUGGGGAGCGAACAGG